GACGUAGGGCGCGAGCGUUGUCCGGAUUUAUUGGGCGUAAAGAGCUCGUAGGCGGUUUGUCGCGUCUGUCGUGAAAGCUUGGGGCUUAACCCCAAGUCUGCGGUGGAUACGGGCAGACUAGAGGCAGGUAGGGGAGAACGGAAUUCCCGGUGUAGCGGUGAAAUGCGCAGAUAUCGGGAGGAACACCGGUGGCGAAGGCGGUUCUCUGGGCCUGUACUGACGCUGAGGAGCGAAAGCGUGGGGAGCGAACAGG
rnacentral:rRNA from 1 species